CUAAAUCGCUGAAACCAGUUGAGACAAGGAAAUCAAAUAUUUACAGAUCAUUAGUAAAUUCAAGGGGUGAAUCCUUUUUAUGUAGGGCUACUCAAAGGUCCCAAUCCGACAGCUAACCUCGUAAGCGUUAUAUGAGAAG
rnacentral:sRNA from 1 species